GAGACCCUGUCUCUAAAAUAAAAUUUAAAAAAAAAAAAGAAAUAAUAAAUAAAAGAAACCAGGCAGCACACUGAGUAGUACCAGAAUCUGGUCCAAAGACAAAAGGACACUGAUGAGAGGGGCUGAUGGGAAAGCAGGAGAGGGAUUUGGGGAGUGACUGGGGUUCAGGCUAGGGCUAUAGUUCAGGAGGGAGACAAACAUGAGAGAGGACGUGUGAGGAGUUGGGAAUCAAGACUCAAGGCACAUGGGCUGAGGGAUUUUUCUUAAGUUUCCCCCAACAUUUGGGUAUGGCCUCAAGUGCAAAUUAACGGGGUGCCAAGAAAACUCCAUCAUCGAGAUAAAUAAUAUUUUAAUACAAUAUUUUAAAACUCAAAAUUAAUGCAAAAACAAUCCAUGAUAGACAAAAUAUUCUAAUUGUAACUAAAGACAGUAUCCAUUGCAGUGAACGCCCUUGUCUGGCACCAGUGGACCUGGGGUGUUCUCUGGUUGUGCGACAUGGUAAGUUGCUCUACCUUUCUGCCUCUCAGUUUACAGAGAAACAAACUGAAAGCCAGAGAGGUGCUCAUUCUUUUAACGAGCCAUUCAUUAAAUCAGAUUCUCUUGGCGUGGGAGGAGGGGUGCGUGCUGGACAUCAGUAGUUUUAAAAAUUCUGCCCAGUAAGUCUAACGUGCACCGGAGUUAAAAAGAAUUAGGAAAUGAUGACCUGGCUCACCAGAGUAAUUCCAACUAAAGUGUAAGUGGUUAAGAGUAGAUUCCUUUAUUUCUCCUGCCACACAUUGUCAGCACAUGGACAGUAAUACUGUUGGUUGAGGGCAGCAUAACACCAGGGCGGGUCAUGGGAAAGGAUAAAGCAAUGUUUAUUGAAUGCCUGCUUCCUCCCAGUAAGCAUGCUGGGUGCUUUUCGUUGGUUUAAUUCCCAUGGUGAUCAGAUGAGGUUGGUAUAAUCACCUCCACUGAAGAGAUGAGAAAGCCAAUGCCUUUACAUAAGGAAGCCUUUCAUGAAAACCUUUAAAUAGCAUCACAAAGCAGAGUCAUCCCAGGGAGCAUUGGACCUACCUGCUCGUUCUACAGACCCUCCAGAACUGCCCACAUGUCUGCCCUCUACAAUGAACAUUCAGCAUCACCUAAAUACAGCUCUCUGGUUAAAUAACUGGGGAGCCGCACAUUCUCCAGCAGCUUCACAGUGACUGGGACAGAAUGAGGGAAAACAGAGGUGGAACUGGCUCUGAGGUCUGUUGAGAAUAUGACUACACCUGGUACGAGGAGGUCCAUUUGUGAUAAAUUGGCUGCAGCCCAGAUGAUCCCUCUGACAAAAGAUUUUGCAUUCCCUCAUUUUGCUUCCCCACCUCAUUUUCCCCCCAAUCAACACAUUUGAGCUCUAAAUCUGUGCCAAGCACUGAACAUCCUUUGCACAUUAUUUUUAAUCAUCUUAACAAGUCUAUAUGGUAGGAAUGAUCAUAUCCAUGUCAUUCAUGACCCUGAGGCUCAGUGAUGCCAAGGAAUUACCUGGCUUCUCACAAACUAUAGGUAGCAAAGUUAGGAUUCAAAGUCAGAUGUUCUUACUCCAGAGCAUGAACUCCAAAGCACGGUCUACACUGCAUACUCUUUUUUUAAUACCCCAGAACAGAGCAGAUAUACUAUAUUCUCUAAUACCUUUCUGUCAGGAUCAGCUAUUUGAAAUAUGGUGGGCUGGAGCCACCUUAGUCAGCUGGCCAGAAUGUGGUACAGUGGGUAUCACUGAAGACCCAACAGCUUCUUGUUGAUAAAUAGCAUAAAAUUCCCACCAUCUGAGUAUUUUUCCAUCUAAGGAGACAGCAUAUUUUACCUGGGUCAAGUGGUAGUUUAUUCACAGCCAAAGGAAAUACUAGAAAUUAAGAACCUUCUAUAGUUUGUUUGACAUCAGCCUGUAAUUAUGUAAGCUGAUUUUUUAGCAUCCUAGUAACUUUCCACUUCAGUCUAGAUUGGAAAUAUCCCCUCGUCUCCUAAAAGCUGGGGUAUAUUAUUUCUGCAGCAUCAGUCAGAGGAUGCAAAAUUACAGCAAUUUCAGUAUUCGGAGUUUUUUCUCUUCCUCGUAUUUAACUCAAAUAGACCCUUCAUCUUUUGGUUCCCAUUUCCCUAAAAGUGUGACACCCAGAGAAGAUGCUUGAGGCCAAGGACUGUAUUUUUAUCCAUCUUUGUUUCUCUAGCACCUAAUACAGUGUCUGACAUGCUACAGACAUUCAGGAAGUGAAUGAAUGAAGUGUGCUUGGAAUGUGAAGGUGCUACUGACCCACCAUUGACAUAAUCUGAAAAAUUUUUUCUAGAAGUGCAGAUGAUUUUCAGCAAGCCACCAUGUCAUCCUUUAACUUGCUUCUCCUGUUGUUUUUAACUGCUUUCCUGCAGCUAGAUUUACUGACACCUCCCCACUGUGGUCUCAGGGUUACCCUAACCCCACUAAGUCUUAAGUAGAACACAUGGGAGGCAGGAAGCUUAUCAGUGGCUUAAGUGCCCACCACCUACAGGGGCUUAAGAAAGGAUAAAGAAAGGAUAAAGUCUCCAAAGCAGGAGUCCGGGUGAUGAGCUAUGCCUUCUGGGUUCACUUCAACCCUUCAGAGUCUCCAAAUACAUCUAAUCCUCAUGACAAUUGUGUAAGGUAGGUAUCUCAGCCUUCGUGUCUCCCUUUAAAAGUCCUGUCUCUCAGAAGCCUUCCCUGACGACCUGACAUAGCCUGUCCCUCUUCUCCUUUACUCUCAUUUCUACAUGUGUUAGGAUUAGGUUUGCUUGUGUAAAACAAAAACCCAAUAUAAUAGAUUCACCAAAGAAGAGUUAUCUUUCUCACAUGACAGGAGGCUGCAAGAGCAUUCAAGGCUGUCUUGUGACUUCUCCAGUGCCAUCAGGGUCUUAGGCUUCUUUUAGCUUUCAGCUCCCCCAGGCUGAGCCUGUGGCUUGGGGCUUCCUGCUCACUAGAUGGCUGUUUUUUCUUUCAGCAUCCUGUAUGAGUUCCAUGCACAAAAAAAGGGAGGGGAAGGAUAAAGGGCAAAAGCAAAUGCCAACUAAAUUGACCCCUUUAACACAUUUUCCUGUAGCCCUUUGCAGGAAUGUCUGCUUAUCUUACUAAACAUACCUGGGGCUCUGGGGAUGUGAGUGUUUUUAAUCAGUUAGACCGUUUCUAAAAUAAAAUGGGGUUCUUUUCAUAAGGAUAACAGGGAGGUGAGACUGGCAUCUAACUGUGUCUUGUCACAGCAUGGCAGCACUUGGUGCUCUAGGAAACAGCCCUGGGGGCCCAGGAUUUUGGGGUCAUGGUGCUUCCCCCCACCUCUGGGUGACCCAGUCUACAGCACCAGUCUUCUGUCAUGCUUCCCCUCUCCUCACACACCCUCCCUCAUAUGUGUCUCCCUCCUGAACUAGAACCCUACCCUGAACCACAGCCACUCCCCAAAGUCCCUCUCCUGCUCCUCCCUCAGCCUCUCUCACCACCACAUCAGGGUUCUUUUGUCUUUGGACCAGAUCCCGGUACUGGUCAGUGUGCUGCCUGGUCUCUGCCUGAAUCAGUGCGUGGCAUCCUUGCCUGCGGCCCUCUAGCUCCCAGCUGGACCUCCUUGAACAUGGGACUGUCCAGUUCAUGUCUGAACUUGUCCGGAGGAUGACCACAGGCCUGUUUCUACAGUCAGGACUCAAAUGUUCUUUGGGUCUGAAGCCAACCCCAUGCAGCUGUGUAUCUCGGAAAGGGUGAGCCUCCCUGGAUGGAGCCCGACAACGUCCUUAAGGACUCAGGCUCUUUUCAACCUUUGCCUUCACCAUCUUGGCCUCUUGGCCUUUCAUCCUCCUGCUUGUACUUCACAGCCUCUAGACAGCUGUCAUCACUGCAGGCAUCAGGAAUGACUGAAAGAUCACGGUAACUACUUGAGACCGGGCACGGUGACUCAUGUCUGUAAUCCCAGCACUUUGGAACGCUGAGGGAGGGAGAUCACUUGAGGUCAGGAUCCUAUGAGAGGCGUGAGGCAUCCUCAGGGAGGUGUGGAACUUCCACAAAGCAGUGGGGCUGGCAGCCAACCUUCAUCCUUCCUCUGCUUUGGAGCUGCUGAGACAUUUGCAGUUUUUGUGCACCUAGUUAAGAGACUCCACAAAUGCAUUAUCUUGUUUUAACUAAGCUUGUCUUCACAAAGUGGAGUUCUGCAUGGAACUGUGGGUUGAAGAUAAUAUUUGCAAUGAUGCGAUCUCAUAAACUUACAAAAAUACCAUGGUUCAUUUACUCCCAAUGUGACCCUUUCAGAAACAAUACAAAGAAAAAAAAUGACCAACUCAUCACAUCUAAUAAUUAAUUGAAUGUCCUAAAAUGGAAAUGAUCAAGAUGAUUUAAUAUACGGAUUGAUAAAUGUUGUUGCUAAUGAU